UCGACCUCAGAUCAGA
rnacentral:rRNA from 1 species